GUGCGCCCCUUCCCUUCCUGUCACAACUGGUGUGGCUUUUCAGCUGAUCAAUUCCAAAUGCAAAGCAGGUUAAGGAUUCCAGUCAGCUUUAGUAAUUGAAAAUAUGUUUAUAAUUCAUGUGUCUGUCAUUUUACUGGCUCCAGAGAGAUACAGAAUUAACAGAUUAUUUCUUGGCUGCAUUUAUAGUUUAUUGAUGCUGAGAGAGCAAUGUGUUACGAGAGUAGAAUCAAAUCAAAUACCAAUAUACCAAAAAUAUAUUCCCCUGGAUCCCACCCCCAUUUCUACACUCCAUAGGAACUCAGCUAUUCCCCUCGUGUGUCACAGUAUCUUCCAGCUGCCGUAAAGACAGAGCUCUGCAGCCAAGCUGCAGCACUUGCAGUAGCAUCUUAGGCCUCAGUGUUGACGUGGUUUGGAAAAUUACUACUCAAGAGCUUUUGGGCCCAUGCUGAGCAACAGUGCUCGUAUUCCCAGGCUCUCUUUUGGGCUGAUAUUUUUUGUCCAUCUGGGUUGGUUUCUAAUGGAGUGACUUUCCUUUUUCCCCUGUAGAGUCAGAGUUGAGGAGGAGGAGGACUAAGCACACCUGCAGCUGUACCCAAACCUGCACAGGGAUAAUAACUACUUGGUUCCAGAGCCUCCAGAAUGACAUUUGUUGCACUGAAGGCGCUAAGUGGAAGGGCCUCUCCUGGAAGUGAUCCUCACCUAAGGCUCCGGAGGGGCACCCAGCCCCUGGCAGGGGCCACGCUGGGCUCGUUUCUGCUGCGCUGUGUGGGAAGCUGUGCCUGUCAGAGCCACGGGGACCUGCCUGGAGCCGUGCAGGGGACAGGGACGAUCCCUGAUGGAGG